AGAGCAGAACAGAUGAUCGCUCUUCCAAUCUCGAUGGCCAUUGAGAUUGGAAGGGAGGAAAGUCCGAACACCGCAGGGCAGGGUGCUCCGUAACACAGAGUGUCUCGGUUGGUCGGGAUAAGGAAAGUGCCACAGAAAGGAAACCGCCCCAGGGGAGAGGUGACAUCACCAUCUCACGGGGUAAGGGUGAAAAGGUGAGGUAAGAGCUCACCAGUCCCGCUGGUGACAUCGGGAGCUUGGUAAACCCCACUCGGUGCAAGACCAAAUAGGAGAGGAUUCGCCGAAAGUAUUUUCGACGAAGCCUAACGGCCCGUUAGGCCACAACUCUCGGGUCGGUCGCUUGAUUCUGACGGCAACGUCAGAACGAGAUAGAUGGUCAUCACAUACAGAACUCGGCUUACGGUCUGCUUUGGCC
rnacentral:RNase_P_RNA from 1 species